rnacentral:rRNA from 1 species
AGUGAACGCUGGCGGUAGGCCUAACACAUGCAAGUCGAACGGCAGCACAGUAAGAGCUUGCUCUUACGGGUGGCGAGUGGCGGACGGGUGAGGAAUACAUCGGAAUCUACUUUUUCGUGGGGGAUAACGUAGGGAAACUUACACUAAUACCGCAUACGACCUACGGGUGAAAGCAGGGGAUCUUCGGACCUUGCGCGAUUGAAUGAGCCGAUGUCGGAUUAGCUAGUUGGCGGGGUAAAGGCCCACCAAGGCGACGAUCCGUAGCUGGUCUGAGAGGAUGAUCGGCCACACUGGAACUGAGACACGGUCCAGGCUCCUACGGGAGGCAGCAGUGUGGUAUAUUGGACAAUGGGCGCAAGCCUGAUCCAGCCAGACCGCGUGGGUUAAGAAGGCCUUCCGGUUGUAAAGCCCUUUUGUUGGGAAAGAAAAGCAGCAGGUUAAUACCCCGCUGUUCUGACGGUACCCAAAGAAUAAGCACCGGCUAACUUCGUG